GGGCUCACUUCGGCAGCACAUAUUCUAAAAUUGGAAAGAUACAGAGAUUAACAUGGCCCCUGUGCAAGCAUGACACUCAAAUUCGUGAAGUGUUCCAUUUUUAA
rnacentral:snRNA from 1 species